GGAAACAAGACAGCUAGCUCUUCCACACAACACUUCACAUCUAUUUCUCAGUACAAAAGUCCAGUUCUCCCAAACCCAAGGAAAGCUUGUGACGGCUGUUUUCCUUCCUGCUGUCCGGGAAAGUCCUUUGAGGGCUUUGCCUGGAUGUUG